CCAGUUUGUGAGGACCGAUCAAGCGAUCAAACCCUAGCCGCCGCCGCCUCCUCCUCCUUCUCCUCCUCCUCCAGAUCGGCAAUCGGCAUGGCGCUUCGUGCUCUCGCCUCCAAGCUGAGGAUCCCGGCGGCCGCUCCCCGCUGGACUCCUCCGCCGUCUCGCCCCGUCUCCACCGCUCCUAAGCGUAAGCUCUCUGCCACCUCCAAAACCUGUUGAAAAAAGUUCUCUCGAUUUUCAGGAAAUGCUACUCUUGGAACGGAUUCGUGCACAUCAAGACAGGUUUGCGCGGAACAUGAUGAUUUCUCAAGCAAUUGGUAAUUUAGUUGGGUAUGGCAUCUUUUGGUAUCUUGUCAACGAUGUUUCCAAGAACUUGGCAAAUUGAUCGGGUUCAACAAUGAACCUGUUAUGUAUGGCUUGAUGAAGCACCUGUUAUGUAUCUUCUAAAGGUCCUGAAGAUGAACCUGUUAUGUAUGGCCUAGUAUGUGCUGAUGAACAUGUCUAAUUAUUUUGUAUGGAUGAUGAACCUGUUCAAAUCUU
rnacentral:sRNA from 1 species